rnacentral:rRNA from 1 species
GAUGAACGCUGGCGGCGUGCCUAAUACAUGCAAGUCGAGCGAACAGACGAGGAGCUUGCUCCUCUGACGUUAGCGGCGGACGGGUGAGUAACACGUGGAUAACCUACCUAUAAGACUGGGAUAACUUCGGGAAACCGGAGCUAAUACCGGAUAAUAUAUUGAACCGCAUGGUUCAAUAGUGAAAGACGGUUUUGCUGUCACUUAUAGAUGGAUCCGCGCCGCAUUAGCUAGUUGGUAAGGUAACGGCUUACCAAGGCGACGAUGCGUAGCCGACCUGAGAGGGUGAUCGGCCACACUGGAACUGAGACACGGUCCAGACUCCUACGGGAGGCAGCAGUAGGGAAUCUUCCGCAAUGGGCGAAAGCUUGACGGAGCAACGCCGCGUGAGUGAUGAUGGUCUUCGGAUCGUAAAACUCUGUUAUUAGGGAAGAACAAAUGUGUAAGUAACUAUGCACGUCUUGACGGUACCUAAUCAGAAAGCCACGGCUAACUACGUG